GAUGAACGCUGGCGGCGUGCCUAAUACAUGCAAGUCGAGCGAACGGACGAGAAGCUUGCUUCUCUGAUGUUAGCGGCGGACGGGUGAGUAACACGUGGAUAACCUACCGAUAAGACUGGGAUAACUUCGGGAAACCGGAGCUAAUACCGGAUAAUAUUUUGAACCGCAUGGUUCAAAAGUGAAAGACGGUCUUGCUGUCACUUAUAGAUGGAUCCGCGCUGCAUUAGCUAGUUGGUAAGGUAACGGCUUACCAAGGCAACGAUGCAUAGCCGACCUGAGAGGGUGAUCGGCCACACUGGAACUGAGACACGGUCCAGACUCCUACGGGAGGCAGCAGUAGGGAAUCUUCCGCAAUGGGCGAAAGCCUGACGGAGCAACGCCGCGUGAGUGAUGAAGGUCUUCGGAUCGUAAAACUCUGUUAUUAGGGAAGAACAUAUGUGUAAGUAACUGUGCACAUCUUGACGGUACCUAAUCAGAAAGCCACGGCUAACUACGUG
rnacentral:rRNA from 1 species